GCUGUUAGUUUGCAGUUAUAAAAGGGGGUGCUCGCCGCCGGGGCAGGCCAGGGCAUCCAGUCCACAGCGCGACAGCGCCGUGCAUAUGUAUAACGCGGCGCGUGGGUGAGGGGUGGGUUGGUGGCGUGGUGUGGUGGUUUAGUGUGGUUGGGGGGUUUUGGAGGGGCGUAGAGCGCGGAGAGGCGGCGGCGGCGGCGGCGGCUCCUGUGGCUCGAAGAGGGGGCGGGCUAGCGGUACCGGCGGGGCUGCCGGAAGCGGCGGCGGUCCAAGGAGGGGAGGCGGGUGGAGCUGAGGAGGCGCGCUGAGCGGGGCGAGGCGCGGCGGGGCUGGAGGUUGGAGCGGAAGAGGGGCGACGGCCGAAGGAGGAGGAGGCGCGAGCAGCGGGAGGCGAGGCGGAGGGGUAGGGGCAAGGGCAGGCCCGGCCCUCCCUUCGACGGGGGUGGGGGCGGGGGCGCGAGGAUACCGCCGCCGCCGCCGCCGCCUAGACCGCUGCGCCGCCUGAGGCCCCCGCGGCCUCUGCCACGGCCGCCGGCGCGUCCGUAGGAGCCGUACAAGGAGCGGCCCACCCGCCGGGCGCAGCGGCGCCUAGGGGUCAAGGGCAAGUUCCACGAGUACCUCCUCGACCAGCCGCAGUGGCGGACGCACGAGCCGCUGUACAGCAGCGCGGGGUUGAAGCCGGAGUUGCUCGAGCUGAAGCAGAAGAGGUGGGAGCAGCAGCCUAGGUAGGAGUUGAAGCACGAGUACAUGUACGAGCGGGGGUGGCGGCCCCAGAGGCGGCGUCGCCGGCGGCGGCAGAGGAGGGAGGGGUCGGUGUACAAGCUCGGCCCAGGAAUGAGCGACCCGAGGGCGCAGCGCUGGGAGCACAGGUUCCCGUGGUGCAAGCGCCACCACCCCAAGCCGCGGCCCGAGUACCCGUGGCGGUAGAGUUUGCCCGAGUAGCGGAACUCCUUCGCGUACCUGGGCCGGAAGCUCUGGGGUUUGUUCCGCGGCGGGUGCGACGAGUUGCGGCCGUGGACCCGAGAGGUGUACCCGUAGUCGUCGUUGGACGCCAUGGUCUGGGAAUUACCCCAACUCAAGGAAGAACCGUUACAGUACGGUGGGGGCCAGAAGUUCCACAGACACUAACGAGAUGCUACGUACUUGUUGCACGAACCACCUUACAGGAAGCACAACGAGCGUUCCGAGUGGCCACGCGUCUUUAGUCUAUUCGGCCGUAGAAGACUAAGUCUUCGGUUCCUCUCUAACUAUCGGCUCCCGCUACGGUAACGACGAUUACAAUCGUCACUCCUGUUCACUAAACCCAUAUCAUCUCCCAUUCAUCCAGCCCCGUACGAAACGAACGCGACACGUAGCGGGAUCGGAGUAAACGAACCUGUGUCCGGUUCUUUGAACAUCUACCAUUCAGCCAGCCAACCAACCAUUAUUACUCACUCCGAACUUUAUAAAACAAGUCAGCCAAGCACCACUAGACCACAAUACUCUACCGAACGAAUCUGCUAGAAUCUUAUUUCAAAAUAGUAAGAGAGCACACGAGUAAACCAGUUUAUAGGUAGACAUCAAAAUGAAUAAGUCAUCAAGUACAACUAAACAGACGAACGUAAAAAACUAUAAUCGGUUGAAAUAUUCUACACUCAUAUAUGACUAUAAACUACUGUUCUAGAAAUACUCAACUCAUUUGAAUAACUACGUUACUCCGGUGUCUCGGUUUAGAUCGGUGUCGUUACACGGCUCUACUAAAUGAUUUAAUUUAAAGACAUAUACGAUCACAGCAUUGAAACCUGAUCAGACUGUCCAAUGUAACAUGAUAGAGUCAUAAGAAAAUUCGUUAAACGUAAAGAGAACCAUUAGCCUUCCUACAUAGUCAGACCACCGUUACACAAACCUUCAAUAUUAAAGGACGAAUCGAUCCUAUGAACUCUUACUAACAGAGCUAGACUUCAAAUGUGUCCUAAAACAUCCCUCAUAUACGUAGCCGUGACACAUGACCGAGUAUUAAAGAGGUGUUCAACACGUAGUACCGGAGGGCCCAUACGUGUAACUGUAAGGUGCCAACAUCAAAAUCAAGAACAACAGACAGACCGAAGAUUUUUCCUCAGUAAUACAAACCCCUCGAUUUAGAACUAGAACUUACCACUGAUCACAAAGUCUAAAGUCUUCCGAUUGGAAAGACGACUGUACCAAGGUUUUGAGUUUUAUAGUUAUCAAACGUGACGACGAAAAAAACUACGACAGCAACAACGUGCCUUCGCAGCCUUCAUAACCGACCAGCAAGGAGAACAUCUGACGACGCACCAAGCCCGAUACGUGCUUGUCGGUUCCCUUUCAACGUCGUUCUCUCCUUAUAUACCACGCUAAAAAGUACCAACCUCGGCAAGCCCAGAGAUCUGGAUCUAGAACAGGGAGCCGCGUAUCGAAGAGCUGUUCAAAGAGUACUCCCAAACUCACACUGUACCAACGACCACCUGCCACUCCAAGGUUAACGACACGCGGCACCAACCACUUCGUUCCAAAGGUUAACGACGCGCGGAACCAACCACUUCGUUCCAACCUUUGCUGCCACUGAACAUUUUCCGCUGGCCUUAAAGAUGUACCGCUGGUCUUAAGAGGUACGUUCACGCCGUCGUGGAGUUGACGCUGGCCAACGUCGUCGAGCUGCGAUGGAAAACACAACUUUCCAUUUUUUUGCGUUUAAAGAUGCACUCCAAGGGAUCUCUUUAAAAUCCCCGUAAAACCGGCGAGGGAUCUCUUUAGGACUCUUUAAGCAUGGGCGUACUACCAAUCGGUCAAACAUGGAUGAGGGAGGAAGGUAGAUAUAUCCCGGCUUACGCAAAAAGCUCCGAUUGAAACUAGUUUAUAAUCUCGUUAUUAUAUACUGUACAUUGAAUGUGUUUCG
rnacentral:rRNA from 1 species